rnacentral:rRNA from 1 species
UACGGGGGGGGCAAGCGUUGUUCGGAAUUACUGGGCGUAAAGGGCUCGUAGGCGGCCAACUAAGUCCGACGUGAAAUCCCCAGGCUUAACCUGGGAACUGCGUCGGAUACUGGUUGGCUUGAAUCCGGGAGAGGGAUGCGGAAUUCCAGGUGUAGCGGUGAAAUGCGUAGAUAUCUGGAGGAACACCGGUGGCGAAGGCGGUUCUCUGGGCCUUACCUGACGCUGAGGAGCGAAAGCGUGGGGAGCGAACAGG